UUAGCAAUGCAUUUACUUCUAU
rnacentral:miRNA from 1 species